rnacentral:rRNA from 1 species
CUAAAAACCUAGCCUAAUAGCUAUUUAUAAUAUUAAACCAUAAAUCAAAAUAUUUUAAUUAUUUAGUAAAGAAGAUUAAAAAAUUUAUUAGAGCCAUAAAUAUGUACCGCAGG